CAAAUUCACAUAUUUUUUGGAAAAGUUCACGUUUAAAAAAGACUAAUAGUGGAACACCAGUCAUGGUAUUACACCUUAAUUUUGUAACCAGUCAAUUUAUAAACAAGAUUAUAUCAAUUAUACUUCAUGCAAAAUCCAAUUUGUCAAAUACUUACACAGCUACUUUUGCAUAGGUACUAUUUCAGUACCAAAAAUCUGUAGUACUGGAAGUCUACUUUUAAUAUUC
rnacentral:lncRNA from 1 species